UACGUAGGGUGCAAGCGUUGUCCGGAAUCAUUGGGCGUAAAGCGCGCGUAGGUGGCUUCGUAAGUCCGUUGUGAAAGUCAAAGGCUCAACCUUUGAAAGCCGAUGGAUACUGCGGAGCUAGAGUACGGAAGAGGCGAGUGGAAUUCCUGGUGUAGCGGUGGAAUGCGCAGAUAUCAGGAAGAACACCCGUGGCGAAGGCGGCUCUCUGGGACGGUACUGACGCUGAGACGCGAAAGCGUGGGGAGCGAACAGG
rnacentral:rRNA from 1 species